GACAGAGGGUGCAAACGUUGUUCGGAAUUACUGGGCGUAAAGCGCGUGUAGGCGGCCACCGCAAGUCGGUUGUGAAAUCUCCGGGCUUAACCCGGAAAGGUCAAUCGAUACUGCGGGGCUAGAGUGCAGAAGGGGCAACUGGAAUUCUCGGUGUAGCGGUGAAAUGCGUAGAUAUCGAGAGGAACACCUGCGGCGAAGGCGGGUUGCUGGGCUGACACUGACGCUGAAGCGCGAAAGCUAGGGGAGCGAACGGG
rnacentral:rRNA from 1 species